CCCUUAGAUGUCCUGGGCCGCACGCGCGCUACACUGAUGCAUUCAACGAGUUCUUCCUUGGCCGAGAGGCCUGGGUAAUCUUUUGAACGUGCAUCGUGAUAGGGAUAGAUUAUUGCAAUUAUUAAUCUUGAACGAGGAAUUCCUAGUAAACGCAGAUCAUCAAUCUGCAUUGAUUACGUCCCUGCCCUUUGUACACACCGCCCGUCGCACCUACCGAUUGAAUGGUCCGGUGAAGCCUCGGGAUUGUGGUCGGUGUUGCUUAAUUGCAACUUGAUCGCGAGAACUUGUCUAAACCUUAUCAUUUAGAGGAAGGUGAAGUCGUAACA
rnacentral:rRNA from 1 species